rnacentral:lncRNA from 1 species
CAAAAGCACCUCUCUCUGCCAUGCCUCAGUUGACUAUUCUAUGCACACAGAUCAAGAAGAGGAAAGAAGAAGGAUCAUCUGAGGGCCCCAGAGCAGUUUGUGCCUCCUCUCCAGUGUGUGCCUGGCAUGCUGUACACCUCUUCUUCUCUCCCUGGGCCAUGGCAGGAGGAUCCUCCCCAGUUCCGGACACCUCCAAACUCUCUUCUUUCUAACCUUCUCCCAUGAUGGAACAGACAGAACUCUCCAAAAUUCAAAUCUAGUGGUGCCCUCUUUCCUGUGACAAUGUGACAUUGCCCCACCACCACUACGGCCUCCACCAACCACGUGCACAUCACAUUUGAGAUCCUUUGCUCCAUUAUCAUAGACA